rnacentral:rRNA from 1 species
UACGUAGGUGGCAAGCGUUGUCCGGAUUUACUGGGCGUAAAGAGCGCGCAGGCGGUCGUUCAAGUCGCGUGUGAAAGCCCCCGGCUCAACUGGGGAGGGUCACGCGAUACUGAUCGACUCGAAGGCAGGAGAGGGAAGUGGAAUUCCCGGUGUAGUGGUGAAAUGCGUAGAUAUCAGGAGGAAUACCGAUGGCGAAGGCAGGUCUCUGGGCUAUAACUGACGCUCAUGCACGAAAGCGUGGGGAGCAAACAGG